rnacentral:rRNA from 1 species
UACAGAGGGGGCAAGCGUUGUUCGGAAUUACUGGGCGUAAAGGGCGCGUAGGCGGCCCGCUAAGUCGAACGUGAAAUCCCUGGGCUCAACCCAGGAACUGCGUCCGAUACUGGCAGGCUUGAAUCCGGGAGAGGGAUGUGGAAUUCCAGGUGUAGCGGUGAAAUGCGUAGAUAUCUGGAGGAACGCCGGUGGCGAAGGCGGCAUCCUGGACCGGUAUUGACGCUGAUGCGCGAAAGCCAGGGGAGCAAACGGG